rnacentral:miRNA from 1 species
UGGGUGGCUUUGGAGAUAUGGA